rnacentral:rRNA from 1 species
GACGAACGCUGGCGGCGUGCCUAAUACAUGCAAGUCUAACGCAGUGGGGACGGGUGAGUAACACGUGGGUAACCUCCCAUCAGAGGGGAUAACACUUGGAAACAGGUGCUAAACCGAUACUGAUGGAUGGACCCGCGGUGCAUUAGCUAGUGGGUGAGGUAACGGCUCACCAAGGCAACGAUGCAUAGCGGACCUGAGAGGGGGAUCGGCGAGACGGGAAAUGGGACACGGCCAAGAGUCCUACGGGAGGCAGCAGUAGGGAAUCUGCGGAAAUGGAGGAAAGGCUGACGGGGCAACGCCGCGUGAGUGAAGAAGGUUUUCGGAUCGUAAAACUCUGUUGUUGGAGAAGCGGUAUCUAACCAGAAAGCCACGGCUAACUACGUGCCAGAAGCCGCGGUAAUAC